rnacentral:rRNA from 1 species
UCCGCAAUGGACGAAAGUCUGACGGAGCAACGCCGCGUGAGUGAUGACGGCCUUCGGGUUGUAAAGCUCUGUUAAUCGGGACGAAAAGGCCUUCUUGCGAAUAGUGAGAAGGAUUGACGGUACCGGAAUAGAAAGCCACGGCUAACUACGUGCCAGCAGCCGCGGUAAUACGUAGGUGGCAAGCGUUGUCCGGAAUUAUUGGGCGUAAAGCGCGCGCAGGCGGAUAGGUCAGUCUGUCUUAAAAGUUCGGGGCUUAACCCCGUGAUGGGAUGGAAACUGCCAAUCUAGAGUAUCGGAGAGGAAAGUGGAAUUCCUAGUGUAGCGGUGAAAUGCGUAGAUAUUAGGAAGAACACCAGUGGCGAAGGCGACUUUCUGGACGAAAACUGACGCUGAGGCGCGAAAGCCAGGGGAGCGAACGGGAUAAGAUACCCCGGUAGUCCUGGCCGUAAACGAUGGGUACUAGGUGUAGGAGGUAUCGACCCCUUCUGUGCCGGAGUUAACGCAUAAGUACCCGCCUGGGAGUACGACCGCAAGGUUGAAACUCAAAGGAAUUGACGGG